AAUAAUAAUAAUAAUAAUAAAAGUUCGGGAUCAAGUAAUAUUUGUCCGUAUGUAUUUUUUUAAUAGCCCAUACUGAAGCAGCACAUGUUUUCCAGCUUUAAAAUUACGUGAUCAUUUAAAAUAAUGUCUGCAAAAGAAACUGGUAAUAUAGAACAUAAUUGUAGCCCAGUGGUAAAAUACUACUAACGUAUAUACAGAAAUUCUGUAUAGACUAUAUUUGGAAGGCUUUAUGACCUGUUUUCAGCAGAGCAGACUCAGAGGGAGGAGAGGUGUUCUCAUGGCCAAUGUGGCGUUGUGUGUUAAACUGAUCUCCCGAGAGCCAAUGGAAAUCGUCCCUGCAAGAGUGGGAGGGAGUCUCAGGGAAAAGUUUUGAAAAAAAAAGAGAAUCGAGGGGAGUCUGAAAAAAAUAACAACGGGAGCUAGAAUAGAGCAGUACAGAGUAAGUGAUUCAGCAGAGUAAAAGUGAGGAUUUCUUAAGUCAGGAAAUUCCUAUAAACUUUAGUAGACAGUACUUCAGUUUAAACAAGUUUCAGAAGAGUAUUCUGUUACUUCUGCUUUUAUUUCUUUUGAGUUCACGUACCAAGCUCGUGUUUUAUUUUAAGCAGCAUAGGUCUGUCAGUUUACGUAGUCACUCAGUGCGAGUUAUUUUCUUUAGGCAUUGUUAUAUACAGUCUUGUUAAAACAACAUACUGUAUUGCAAAGUUUAAGUUUAUGCACCAUUAAUACGUGCUUGAAAUGAAAGUAAAGAGACAGUGACUAGCUCGUAAAAUAAACGAAGCAAUUGAGAGGCAGCUGGACAGUGUUUCAGAAGGAAGGACCACGUUUCCAGAUAGAGAGAGCGAGGUAGACUGCGGCGACAGAGAGGUUUGCCGUGAUCCAGAGACCGCAAGCAACCGAGAGCUACAACUGGGAGAAGCCUUUCAGAAUUGUGAGUUUUUCCACAAAGUGUUUUGUUUUAAAAUAGCAAGCAUAACUGUGUAUUUUCAGUAAAGCUUGCGAAGGGGCCAUUUUGUUUUAUUUCUAGGCCACAACGUACCCAAGCCACGAUUCAGGCCUGCAACAGUGUUUGUUUGUUCGUCUGUCUACAUGUGUGUUACACGUGGGGCUGGAGUGCACUCGACUAGCGUUUAUUUUGAAUAGAAUAUAUUGGAAGAGUACAUUUGAGUUAAAUACCACUGAAGCAUAGAGCUUUUAGUUACUGUUUAGUGACUUAAAAAGUUACAUUUUGGGGAAAGUAUUUUGUGGUUGGAAUUUUUUAUAUGGUAUGUACAAUUUACUUACCUGCAGUUCAUUAUAUUAGUUUAACUUGAAUCCCCAUUUAUAAAGAUUAUUUUUAUAUAAAAUUCAGUACUGUGUGUGAGUGUGAUUUUAUUAGUUGUAUAUUGCUCUUGCUUAAUUUGCAUUUGUUAUAUGAUUGAAUAUAAGUUCCUGUGGACGCGUGCCAAUAAUAGGGAAACCACGUGACCAUCAGGUGGAGGCAUCGCUAAAGAAGAAAAGUAAGUGUGAUAGUUUAUGUCUGGUUACAGUGUGCAAAAACAAAAGGACCAUUGGUUCUGGGAUAAUAGAUAAGAAUCCAGGGCCCUUACUGUUAGGUGCAAGACCUAUUUGUGUAGGGGUAAGUGAGACAAGUGUUACAUCUUUUUUGGAGGCUCCGCUGGGAUCUACCCCCUGUACACCGUUACCGUAUCGCGUACUGCACGUAUUGUUUACAGUUUUCAAAAUGUUUCUGAAUCGCCCAGACCAAGGUGCGCUGAUUGCAUGGCGCCGCGGAGAAAGUGUAAAUGUGAACAAGGCCAUUCUGUUUACUGGAGUGCCAAAGGGCACUGAGGUUAGUCAGGUGGAGGAGGUACUGGGCACCAUUCGGGUGUUAGGUCGCGUGAGAGUGCGUGGGCAAAUGUUUAAUACAGUACUAGAUAGUUUCGUUGUACUAUGCGAGUGCCGCGAGACAAUUGAUGUAGGACGGGUCCCCACUGAAGUGCUACCAGUGGAGGGCGCUGCCCCUUGGAGUAUAAUUGUGGCAGGUAGAGCUACCCCUGCUCCCAUAGAAGUCGCAGAGGGGACUGUUACUGAGCCGCUUAUGUCUGAAAGUGUAAAUUUGACUCAGCAGGAUGCCAAGGCUGCCAAUACUACUGAAGCCAUACUCCAGGCUUUGGAGAAGGUGCUGCUGAAAGGGACAAAGCCGGAUAACGGAAAUAAUUAUUACCGCAGAUUGCGGGUAUUUUCAGGAACUGUACCCACUCCGGCAGGAGAGGAAGAUUUUGAUGGCUGGAGGGAUCAAACACUGAUGAUGAUUCGAGAAUGUGACUGCACUGACCGUGAGAAGCGGAAGCGGAUUGCAGAGAGUGUGAAGGGCCCUGCCUUGGACAUUCUCCAAGCAGUGCAGGAGGCUAAUCCAAAUGCUGGCCCCUUGGACUAUGUCAACGCCCUUGAAACCACAUUUGGAUGUCCUGAUUCAGGUGAAGACCUGUUUUUCAAGUUUCGUGCCACUCAGCAACAGCCCACUGAGAAACUGUCUGAAUUCCUGAGACGCUUGGAGCCCAUGCUGAAGCUGACAGUAAGGAAGGGAGGUAUUGCACUUGACCAAAUCAUUUGUGGUGCAGCUCGGUCAGAACUCAUGCUUCUGCGCCUGAGGCUGCGGGAGCGCAAGAACGACCCCCCCUCAUUUCUGACGCUGCUGAAGGAAAUUCGUGAGGAGGAGGAGCAGGAAGCUACUCGAGAGACAUUGAACGCUCGCAGUAACCUUGCGUAUACCUCUGCAAACCCCAAUGCAAGUCACCCUGAAAUGAAACAACUGCAAACCCAGAUGAAGGAGUUACAGACCAACAUGGCAACCUUGCUGAAGCAAAAGCAAGAACAACCUAUUGCUCCUGCGAAGGAUGGAGAGAAAACCCUCGCUAAGUGUCUGGCAACGCCUCCUGAAGCCAAGAGCGAGACUGAAGAGCUUAAACGGGUCAUUCUCCAGCUACAGAAGCAGGUUAGCUAGUUGGCUGUGAAACCUGAGGUCCCUGUAAGAAAGGAACCAUGUCAAAGGACUCCAGAGUCAGUUCGCAAGAGUUUUUCCCCUGAGAAGAAAUACUCCACAGACCGGGACACCUUCUUUUGUUAUCGGUGUGGAGAGGACGGGCACAUUGCUACGCAUUGUGAGGCCCCGGAAGAUCUUAACAGAGUGAACCAGAAGCUACUUCGUUCGAUGCGGAAGCGCAGGGGAGACAGUGGAGGCUCCCGAACACCACCUCCUACAAAUGCUGAAGCGAAGAUCUCUGUGAAGAAGGCCACCUCACAGUUGGACAACAUGCCUGGCAUGCUGAGAGGACCGAUUGGGCCAACUUCAGUUGUCUCUGUAAAGAUCGAAGGUCACCCCUGUCGAGCACUUCUAGACAGCGGCUCACAGGUGACUUGUGUUUCAGGGAUGGUACCGGAAGUUUCUAUCACACUUGCCUGUCCAUCCUGUUGCUGGCCUAGCCUUAUGGGGGCUUAGUGAGAGCAGCUACCCCUAUGAGGGCUAUGUUGUAGCUGAAAUAGAGCUCCCCAAAGAAGUGGUUGGAAUCAAAGAGCCCAUUUCUGUGCUGGCGUUGAUUUGUCCUGAACCGCGAAAUCACGACCAGAUUCCAGUGAUUAUAGGAACGAAUGCCAACCUUUUCCAGCGACUUGCGAGUAUGUGUGCCGAAGCUGUGGGCCCUGACUUCGUGAAAACGUUGCACAUUCACCCCUUGUGCUCACAAGCUUACCAACGAAGAGAGAAGGUGGACCUCAAGCCUGAAGAACCCCUAGGACAUGUACACCUGGGACGGCAGGGCAUUCUGACUGUCGAACCUAAAAGUGUCUCUGACAUAGAGUGUGAGAUUAGUGGCUCUAUCCCGUAGAAUUCGACAUUCUUGUGCUUGAAACAACCCCUGACUUGAGUGUACCUGGAGGACUGCUUGUGCCCAGUGUGGUUCUGCCAGCUAAAGCGAUAAGAGCGAACAAAGUUGUGAUUCAGUUGUGCAAUGAAUCAUCACGCCCGGUAGUACUACCCAGCCGGACUGUACUAGCUCACAUAUAUAAAGUUGACAGUGUGACGGGAGUACAGAAGCCAAUGAGGUCUGCUAAAGCCUUGGACACAAAGUUAUUUGAUUUCGGUAAAUCGCCAGUUCCCUGUUAUUGGAAGAAGAGGCUUUGUGAUAAGUUGGCUAAGAGGCUUAAUGUUUUCUCCACUGAAGAAUGGGAUGUUGGACUCGCCAAUGGAGUGGAACACCGCAUUCGUCUGAGUGACCCCAGACCAUUCAGAGAACGGUCAUGGAGGAUAGCUCCAGCUGACGUUGAAGAUGUGCGUCGCCAUCUACAGCAGUUGCUAGCUGCUGGCAUUAUUACGGAGUCCCGUAGCCCUUACGCUUCUCCAAUAGUGGUGGCCAGGAAAAAGCAUGGAAUGGUAAGGAUGUGUAUUGAUUACCACACUCUGAAUCGCCGUACCAUCCCAGAUCAAUACACUACCCCCAGAAUUGAUGACGCCCUAGACUGCUUGUCAGGUAGUAAGUGGUUCUCGGUCUUAGAUCUACGCAGUGGGUACUAUCAGAUUGGCAUGGCUAGUGAAGACAAAGAGAAAACAGCUUUCAUCUGUCCGCUCGGAUUUUAUCAGUUCGAGCGCAUGCCACAGGGAAUCACUGGAGCGCCUGCGACUUUCCAGAGGCUUAUGGAGAGUGUGGUGGGAGACAUGAACCUGCUACAAGUGCUAGUGCACUUGGAUGACCUCAUAGUCUUCGGGAGAACUCUGGAGGAGCAUGAGGUGAGACUACUGAAGGUGUUGGAUCGUUUGGAAGUGCUGGUCGUCACAGAUCACUACACCCGCUAUGCUCAGGCUUUCCCUACGCGAGAUCAAAAAGCUCUGACAGUAGCAAAGAUUUUGUGGGAGAAAUUCUUUGUGUACUAUGGAUUGCCCGCCCGAAUCCAUUCGGAUCAAGGGCGUGACUUUGAGAGUCGGCUCAUCAAGGAAAUGUUGGGUUUGUUAGGGAUGGAUGGUAUCAUCCUGAAGGAGAUCCGCAGCCGGAACGUUUCAAUAAAACGUUGAUGGACAUGUUUGGGACCUUGGACGUAUCCAAGAAGAACCGGUGGAGCCAGCACAUCAGUCAACUGGUCCACGCGUACAAUUGUAUAAGGAGUGAUGCCACUGGGUAUUCACCUUAUUUCCUAAUGUUUGGGAGAGAGGCACGUUUGCCAGUGGAUCUGUGUUUCGGCAUUUCAUCUGACGAUGACACUCAAGAAGAGUACCAGCAAUAUGUAUCGAGGAUGAAGACCGAACUGAAAGAAGCAUACAGGCUUGCAAUGCAAAAUGCACAGCAGAGCCAUGAACGGAACAAAGAACGGUACGAUAGGUUAGUCCGUGAACAGCACUUGGAAGUGGGAGACCGGGUCCUACUAAGGAAUUUAGGGGUCCUGGGGAAGCAUAAGCUGGCUGAUAGAUGGAAGUCUAUUCCACAUUUGAUAGUUUCUCAGCUCCCAGACCUGUUUACCGAGUUAAACCCGAAAGAGGCAGUGGUCCUUGGAAGACACUCCAUCGGAACCACUUAUUGCCCAUUGGACAUUUGGUGAGGAUGCCUGGACCCUCAAAGGUGGCUCAGAAACCCACCGUGACUAAUAAAGGACUUAAAGGAGCCAGGGCCAGCCUUGAUCGUGAGCCAGAAAGUUCACCAAUGGAACCAGAGAUUCCAAAGAAAGUUGCAUCUUACUCAUCUGAUUCAGAAGACGAAGAGAUGCUAAGAUACUGGAAUGACCCACCAGUGUGGCCGGGGCCUACACAAAGAGAGGACCCCAGACGAUCAUCAUCACAACCGACAGUUGAUGCACAGGAGGCUGAUGAAGACUGUCUUGGAGAACCUGAAGAUGACGAAAACCAGGAUCCAGUAAUGGAAAUGCUCGAGACGGAGAAGGUUCAUGAGGUUGACGGACCUGAGGAUGAAGAAGUGGUAAAAUCUGAUGAGGAAUGGGAAGGUAGAAGAUGUCUCCGAAGAGCCAUUAAGCCAGUUGUUCGGGAGUUCCUACGGAGGAACCGCUAUUGAUUGUGCAUCGUGGUACAGGUGUGAAUGAUUAGGCGUAUCCUGUGUUGCGUGACACCUCCCCAAAAUCUCCCAUUAUAAAGAGAGAAUGUGAGUAUUGUGUGAAUGUGGUUGUACUUAAAAGUUAGUCUGUUGGGGACAACCAGACAUUUUAAGUGGGGGAGGAUGUAGCCCAGUGGUAAAAUACUACUAACGUAUAUACAGAAAUUCUGUAUAGACUAUAUCUGGAUGGCUUUAGGACCUGUUUUCAGCAGAGCAGACUCAGAGGGAGGAGAGGUGUUCUCAUGGCCAAUGAGGCGUCGUGUGUUAAACUGAUCUCCCGAGAGCCAAAUCGUCCCUGCCAGAGUGGGAGGGAGUCUCAGGGAAAAGUUUUGAAAAAAAAAAGAGAAUAGAGGGGAGUCUGAAAAAAAUAACAACGGGAGCUAGAAUAGAGCAGUACAGAGUAAGUGAUUCAGCAGAGUAAAAGUGAGGAUUUCUUAAGUCAGGAAAUUCCUAUAAACUUUAGUAGACAGUACUUCAGUUUAAACAAGUUUCAGAAGAGUAUUCUGUUACUUCUGCUUUUAUUUCUUUUGAGUUCACGUACCAAGCUCGUGUUUUAUUUUAAGCAGCGUAGGUCUGUCAGUUUACAUAGUCACUCAGUGCGAGUUAUUUUCUUUAGGCAUUGUUAUAUACAGUCUUGUUAAAACAACAUACUGUAUUGCAAAGUUUAAGUUUAUGCACCGUUAAUACGUGCUUGAAAUGAAAGUAAAGAGACAGUGACUAGAUUGUAAAAUAAACGAAGCAAUUGAGAGGCAGCUGGACAGUGUUUCAGAAGGAAGGACCACGUUUUCAGAUAGAGAGAGCGAGGUAGACUGCGGCGACAGAGAGGUUUGCCGUGAUCCAGAGACCGCAAGCAACCGAGAGCUACAACUGGGAGAAGCCUUUCAGAAUUGUGAGUUUUUCCACAAAGUGUUUUGUUUUAAAAUAGCAAGCAUAACUGUGUAUCUCCAAUAAAGCUUGCGAAGGGGCCAUUUUGUUUUAUUUCUAGGCCACAACGUACCCAAGCCACGAUUCAGGCCUGCAACAGUGUUUGUUUGUUCGUCUGUCUACAUGUGUGUUACACGUGGGGCUGGAGUGCACUCGACUAGCGUUUAUUUUGAAUAGAAUAUAUUGGAAGAGUACAUUUGAGUUAAAUACCACUGAAGCAUAGAGCUUUUAGUUACUGUUUAGUGACUUAAAAAGUUACAUUUUGGGGAAAGUAUUUUGUGGUUGGAAUUUUUUAUAUUGUAUGUACAGUUUACUUACCUGCAGUUCAUUAUAUUAGUUUAACUUGAAUCCCCAUUUAUAAAGAUUAUUUUUAUAUAAAAUUCAGUACUGUGUGUGAGUGUGAUUUUAUUAGUUGUAUAUUGCUCUUGCUUAAUUUGCAUUUGUUAUAUGGUUGAAUAUAAGAUCCUGUGGACGCGUGCCAAUAAUAGGGAAACCACGUGACCAUCAGGUGGAGGCAUCGCCAAAGAAGAAAAGUAAGUGUGAUAGUUUAUGUCUGGUAACAGUGUGCAAAAACAAAAGGACCAUUGGUUCUGGGAUAAUAGAUAAGAAUCCAGGGCCCUUACUGUUAGGUGCAAGGCCUAUUUGUGUAAGGGUAAGUGAGACAAGUGUUACAGAAUGAACCGUUGGAAAGGCUGAUUGCACAUUGUGGGGAAUCUGAAAAGAUGUAUAGGAUAGUAAUCUUUGAAUUUAAGACCUGAAACGUCGAUAAAGCACUUGGAUUGGUCUCCGUUCUAUCGCAGAGAAAAUGUCUGGUCUGUUCAAAUCGUACUUAGGGUACUACAGUACUUUGCAUGCAAAAAUAUCCUAAAUAACAUUAGUUUUCGGAAAACGCUUUGUCAUGUAAACGUACCGAGUUAGAAUCACUAUACCUUUUAGAGUAACUACACUUGAACUUUUAGUUUAUAUUAUUUGUUUGUAUUUUUUUUAAAUUUAUAUUAUUAUUAUUAUUAUUAUUAUUUUAUUUAUUUUUAACUGUAGGCUUACCUUUUACCUCUAUUUUCUUCUUUCUUUGAUUUCUUUCUUUCUUCCUUCCUUUUUCUUUCCUAAUUCUCUCCUCUCUCUCCUCUUCUUCCCUCCUCUGUCUCUCUGUGUUUCUGUUUAUUUCCUUUGCUCUGUGGAUCCUGGGUGGGUUUGAUUAUUUUUCUUCUGUUUUCAUGUGCUUGUUAUUUUUGUUUAAAUUAUUUAUUUUCUAUUUUAAUUCAAUAUUUGUUUACAUAUCUUUGUGUUAUUAAUUUAGCAUUCAAUUUCACUAAGAAAUAGUAUAAAUACAAAUUCUUCAGGAGCACAUCUUUUUGGUGACUGCUCACACGGAAUCUCUCUCUCUCUCUCUCUCUCUCUCUCUCUCUCUCUCUCUCUCUCUCUCUCUCUCUCUCCUCAGACCCCACUGCUGGUAAAGCUCCUCCAUACAGACGGGCUGCAUUGGUCCUGGCAGGGCUGUGCGCUCUCUCAGUGGCUGCCAAUAUAUUCCUCACAGUCUACAUUUCUAACUUGACCGUGGAGAGAAAACAAAUCCAAUAUCGGCAUUCAGAACUGGAGAAGAACUACAGCAACAUCUCGGAGAAAUACUCGGCACUGGACCAGUACUGUCCCAUCACAGACACCUCUUCCAAGG